rnacentral:rRNA from 1 species
UACGUAGGGGGCAAGCGUUGUCCGGAUUUAUUGGGCGUAAAGAGCGUGUAGGCGGUCAGGUAGGUCCGUUGUGAAAACUCGAGGCUCAACCUCGAGACGCCGAAUGGAAACCAUCUGACUAGAGUCCGGAAGAGGAGAGUGGAAUUCCUGGUGUAGCGGUGAAAUGCGCAGAUAUCAGGAAGAACACCCGUGGCUAAGGCGGCUCUCUAGUACGGUACUGACGCUGAGACGCGAAAGCGUGGGGAGCGAACAGG